UAGAGUUUGAUCAUGGCUCAGGACGAACGCUGGCGGCGUGCUUAACACAUGCAAGUGGAGCGACGAACCGGGGCUUGCCCCGGGGCAGAGCCGCGAACGGGUGAGUAACACGUGGGUUACCUACCCCGAUGACCGGGACAACCCGAGGAAACUCGGGCUAAUACCGGAUGUGGUCUUCGGACGAAAGGAAGCUUCGGCCUCCGCAUCGGGAUGGGCCCGCGGCGCAUUAGCUUGUUGGUGGGGUAACGGCCUACCAAGGCGACGAUGCGUAGCUGGUCUGAGAGGACGAUCAGCCACACUGGGACUGAGACACGGCCCAGACUCCUACGGGAGGCAGCAGUGGGGAAUCUUGCGCAAUGCGCSAAAGCGUGACGCAGCAACGCCGCGUGGGGGAAGAAGGCCUUCGGGUUGUAAACCGCUUUCAGUUGGGASGAAGCCUCGCGGGUUAAUAGCCUGCUGUGGUGACGGUACCUUCAGAAGAAGCCCCGSCUAAYUACKUGCCAGCCGCSGCSGUAAUAC
rnacentral:rRNA from 1 species